rnacentral:misc_RNA from 1 species
AGAUUAAGCUUCAAAUCCACUAGAGUCUCCGAGAACCCUCUCUUUCCAUUACUCUUGGCAAUCUCACCUUCAUUUGCAUUGCCUGCAGAACAAGGUAACCCCAGACGCAAUUCUGUCUCUUCGAAAUUGAUCGUAGCAUAUUUAUCAUGCUCUGUGCUCAUUAUAUUAGUCAUUUUGCACUAAAUUUACGCCGAAAACCCUCGUUUCAGCCUUCUUCAAUACCCCAGUCUCGGCUUCCUCCCU